rnacentral:rRNA from 1 species
AUUGAACGCUGGCGGCAUGCCUUACACAUGCAAGUCGAACGGCAGCACGGACUUCGGUCUGGUGGCGAGUGGCGAACGGGUGAGUAAUGUAUCGGAACGUACCUUUCAGUGGGGGAUAACGUAGCGAAAGUUACGCUAAUACCGCAUAUUCUGUGAGCAGGAAAGCAGGGGAUCGAAAGACCUUGCGCUGAUUGAGCGGCCGAUAUCAGAUUAGCUAGUUGGUGGGAUAAAGGCCUACCAAGGCGACGAUCUGUAGCGGGUCUGAGAGGAUGAUCCGCCACACUGGAACUGAGACACGGUCCAGACUCCUACGGGAGGCAGCAGUGGGGAAUUUUGGACAAUGGGGGCAACCCUGAUCCAGCCAUGCCGCGUGAGUGAAGAAGGCCUUCGGGUUGUAAAGCUCUUUCGGCCGGGAAGAAAUCGCAUAGGCUAAUACCCUGUGUGGAUGACGGUACCGGAAUAAGAAGCACCGGCUAACUACGUG